rnacentral:rRNA from 2 species
AUGGUUAAGCUACUAAGAGCACACGGAGGAUGCCUAGGCGCUAGGAGCCGAUGAAGGACGUGGCGAACAACGAAACUGCCUCGGGGAGCUGUAAGCAAGCUUUGAUCCGGGGGUGUCCGAAUGGGGAAACCCAGCUGGGGUAAUUUCCAGUUACUCACAACUGAAUACAUAGGUUGUGUAGAGGCAUACCAAGGGAACUGAAACAUCUAAGUACCUUGAGGAAGAGAAAACAAUAGUGAUUCCGUCAGUAGCGGCGAGCGAACGCGGAGAAGCCCAAACCAGAGAGCUUGCUCUCUGGGGUUGUGGGACGUCUCACAUGGAGUUACAAAGGAACCGGUUAAGUGAAGAGGUCUGGAAAGGCCCGCCAAAGAAGGUAAAAGCCCUGUAG